rnacentral:lncRNA from 1 species
CUGAAUACAGCUAAUUGUGAGAAAUAAUCGUCGACCUAUGAUGCAAACAGGAUGCUUUAGACGUGACUCACUUGACAGCUGAAGUGCUGCAACUAGACCACCAGGCAAAAUGAAGACCCUGUGUAUUCUAAACUUUUCAUACACUCAUCUGAAGCUCCACAACCAGCUGAUUCUGAUACGGAAAGAUUUCCAAGUCUCAGAAGGUAUAUAUCACCAUCUGUGAUUGAAACAGAUAUUGAAUCUAUAGUAGUUAUGUGCUGUUUGCAAGUUUUGUGUCUGUAAUGAUAAAUCAUUGAACUUCAUCUUCGUGGUGAGCAUAUAGGAUUUUCAUUCUAAAUUUUUGUGAUAUAGUAUUUAGAAUGAAUUUCCCUAGAUAGAGC